rnacentral:rRNA from 1 species
UCUAAGCGUGAAGCCCACCUCAAGAUUAGAUUUCCCAUAGCGUAAGCUAGUAAGACCCCUGAAAGACUAUCAGGUUGAUAGGUUGGAGGUGUAAGUACAGUAAUGUAUUCAGCUGACCAAUACUAAUAGGUCGAGGGCUUGAUCAAAUU